rnacentral:rRNA from 1 species
CCUACGGGGGGCAGCAGUGAGGAAUAUUGGUCAAUGGGAGGAAUCCUGAACCAGCCAUGCCGCGUGCAGGACGACGGCUCUACGAGUUGUAAACUGCUUUUGUACCGGGGUAAAAUGCCUUACGUGUAGGGUUUUGAAAGUACGGUACGAAUAAGGAUCGGCUAACUCCGUUCCAGCAGCCGCGGUAAUCCGGAGGAUCCGAGCGUUAUCCGGAUUCAUUGGCUUUAAAGGGGGCGUAGGUUGUUUUAUAAGUUAGCGGUGAAAUACCGAUGCUAAAGAUCGGGGCUGCCGCUAAUACUGUAGGACUAGAGAUCGGAUGCAGCAGGCGGAAUGUGUAGUGUAGCGGUGAAAUGCAUAGAUAUGGCACAGAACACCGAUUGCGAAGGCAGCUUGCUAGGCCGGAUCUGACACUGAUGCACGAAAGCGUGGGGAUCGAACUGGAUUAGAUACCCGUGUAGUC